rnacentral:lncRNA from 1 species
CUCCCCUCCCUCCCCCUCGGUCUCCGCCUCCUCCUUCACCUCCUCCUUCACUGCCCCGACCUCCCGCCCCCAGUUCCACGCGCUCUGAUGCCCGCCCCGCUCACCCAGAGAAGCCCUGGGCCAGACGUCCACAACCCAAGGGGUUAUGGGGAGGCCUCUGCUCCCUGGACACAGUAGUUCUCAAACUGGACAGUGUCAAUCAGCAUCCUCCGGGAGGUCUGAGGUGGCCCCGGAAAUACAUGUGUCCCACCUAUCCCAGCAGGUAAUGAUGAAACUCCUGCUCUGGUCCGAGCUACCGAUGAACAGCGCCCAGCGGGCCGGGCCCCCAACCUCGCUCCUGAGCCUGAACAUCCCCCCAACCCCGCCGUGAGAAUUCAGCGAAGAGUAAAAGCUGGAAAAAGUUGCGUGUCUUAGGCUAAGCAGAGCAAAGUGGGGUGACGGCUCCCCCGCUAGGAACAGAGAUGCCCUUAGGGAGCCCCCUGAUGGAAGAGCUCUCCGCUUAAGAAGGUCACCACUCCCUUACACUCAGCCCCUCUCAAUCUGAUUCCCUGCUAUGCCUGCCGUCACCACUGGCCAGUUUUACCACAUGCUUCUCAAGACCCAAGGCACAAUAGGCAUAAAGUUGUCCCGAAAAGGACAAGAGGAGUGUCAGAAGUAGGAAUGGCAGUCGAAGGAACUUGGUCUGCCAGCAGAAAGCUGAAAUGACAGGAGAUGUUGCUGAGAUGGGUGCAUUAAAGUUUAGGUUUUCCAGAGUUUAUAUUGCUAACGACUUGAAAGGAAAAAAGCUAACUAGAGAACUGACUGGUCUUAUUUGUUUUAGAUUCUGGGCUUUACUAAGACUUCCUACUCUCAGAAUCUCUGGACUAUAAACGCUGGGCGGGGUGGGAGCUGGGAAUGUUAUUCUGGAAAAUUAAUCACAAAUGAAAAGAAAAUCAACUCUAAGACUCCAGUUAGAAGAUUUUUGAAAAUGGCAGAACAUGACUGGCCUUCAUUCAAGUCAGAAUAUUUAAAGCAAUCCUUGCUAAGAAGAACUUGAUUUUGUAUAAGCGGUCCCUUAAAUACAGUUGCUUCUCAAGAAAACCAC